CCUACGGGUGGCAGCAGUGAGGAAUAUUGGUCAAUGGACGCAAGUCUGAACCAGCCAUGCCGCGUGCAGGAAGACGGCUCUAUGAGUUGUAAACUGCUUUUGUACGAGGGUAAACGCAGAUACGCGUAUCUGUCUGAAAGUAUCGUACGAAUAAGGAUCGGCUAACUCCGUGCCAGCAGCCGCGGUAAUACGGAGGAUUCAAGCGUUAUCCGGAUUUAUUGGGUUUAAAGGGUGCGUAGGCGGUCUGAUAAGUUAGAGGUGAAAUCCCGAGGCUCAACUUCGGAAUUGCAUCUGAUACUGUUAGGCUAGAGAGUAGGUGCGGUAGGCGGAAUGUAUGGUGUAGCGGUGAAAUGCUUAGAGAUCAUACAGAACACCGAUUGCGAAGGCAGCUUACCAAGCUACUUCUGACGUUGAGGCACGAAAGCGUGGGGAGCAAACAGGAUUAGAUACCCUAGUAGUC
rnacentral:rRNA from 1 species